AACGAACGCUGGCGGCAUGCCUAACACAUGCAAGUCGAACGAGACCUUCGGGUCUAGUGGCGCACGGGUGCGUAACGCGUGGGAACCUGCCCUUAGGUUCGGAAUAACUCCCCGAAAGGGGUGCUAAUACCGGAUAAUGUCUUCGGACCAAAGAUUUAUCGCCUUUGGAUGGGCCCGCGUUGGAUUAGCUAGUUGGUAGGGUAAAAGCCUACCAAGGCGACGAUCCAUAGCUGGUCUGAGAGGAUGAUCAGCCACACUGGGACUGAGACACGGCCCAGACUCCUACGGGAAGAAGCAGUGGGGAAUAUUGGACAAUGGGCGAAAGCCUGAUCCAGCAAUGCCGCGUGAGUGAUGAAGGCCUUAGGGUUGUAAAGCUCUUUUACCCGGGAUGAUAAUGACAGUACCGGGAGAAUAAGCUCCGGCUAACUCCGUG
rnacentral:rRNA from 1 species